GCCAGGAUAAAAGCCAUCCCACUUAGUGUCCAUUUCACAAAGUGAAAUCUAAUUAGUAAAAUGUUUAAAAGUUAAUGAAGAAUACACGAUGUCAGAAAAUAUGUUCUAAUGAAGAGCAGUCCUCUCAUACCAGCACUGUGCUGUCAUAAACUCUUACUACGUAAGUCAUAUUUUGGUGUCGACGCUAAUAAAAUACUGUAAGUAAUGGGCCAGGAGGUGUGCUGUGCAAAAUGUCUCGCCAUCUCUUUAGAAGUUCAACUGUAAUGUUAAUGGAGCCUCCCUGCAGACACAUGCAUGAGAGCAUCUUACUAAAUGCUGGGUUUUGCCUUCCAGUUCAUGUCUCUUUCUCCAGAACUUUGGACAAUAAUCCAGUGAGGGUGUUUCACUCAGGUCUCUGGGAUGCAGACACUGUCUUAGACACAGUCUAGCUUGUCUGAAUUGUCCUAUCCAGUGAUAGGACUAGAGGGAAUGGCUUCAAGCUGCGCCAGGGAAGGUUCAGGCUGGACGUUAGGAAAUACUACUACUCUGAAAGAGUGAUCAGGCACUGGAAUGGGCUGCCCAGAGAGGUGGUGGAGUCACCGAGCCUGGUGGUGUUCAAAGAGCAUUUGGAUGUUGUGUUGAGGGACAUGGUUUAGUGAGAACCAUUGGUGAAGGGUGAAUGGUUGGACUGGAUGAUCCUGUGGGUCUUUUCCAACCUUAACGAUUCUAUGAUUCUAUGACUUGCAGUUCAUUGAUGCUGUUUUCAUUGCUUUUUAAAUACAAGCCCUAAUUUCUUUUUGACGGUGCACGCCAAAUGAUAAUGCACGGGCCCUGAGGCCCUUUCUUCAGUUGUGCUCACUGCCACCCAAAUUCAGAACCAUAUUUAAGUUUUGAACUCAGUUGCAAUACUUUUAAUAAAUCCCUUAUGAAACACUGAAGGAAGUUGAAAGCUGAUGGAUAUGGAUCAAUUAAUAUCCAGGCUUGAGACACGUGUGUUUCAAGAACACUGCCGUGACGUGGUGUGGCACAUGUAACUUCCCACAGUGUAUAACUUAGAGUCACCAGUUAGAUCAUUGAACUUGGAGAGGCUGAUGUGGCUGUCCUCUGAUCUGUCGGAUUGUUAAUAAUGUGGACUUUGUGUGGACAAAAAACCACAUCCCAUGUCAUUUACUAAUGCUUUUAUUUUAUUUGUGUACUCUGGCUACCAGAAGGAAACUAAAAUUUUCAAAAUUACAUACUAUUUUAAUAAAUGUUCGUGCUUUCCCCCAGCACUACUGAGGCUUCCUUCUACAGUCUUCCUUGUUGCAUCUGUAUCAUGUUUUAUUUCUUUUCAUUCACUUCUGCCCUCACUGGGAUGUGUACGGUUGAAAUUUAAGUAAACCAAAUAAAUUAUAUUUGAAUUCCAACAUGGGAAUCUUGCCUAAUGAGUCUGGCACGUUAUCUGUGUUGAUAGGAGACAACUAAUAUUUAAUAUUACCAGUCAUAAAAAAUAGCUACUUAGACUGCUUAUAGAGUAUCUUAAAUUUUUGCAUUCUAUUUAUUUUUCAUUUAUGUCUGUUCUUAAACAUCUUCCUCUGUCUGUUUGUUAGCUGAUAAAUCUAACUGUUAUAGGCUUAGUGUAGACAUCAUUUAUACCUAGAAAAGCAUAUCUGAAAAUACAUUACCUUUAAAUAGUGGGAUCCAUCACAUCUGAGCUCCCAUGUCUGAUAGUGGAAAAAGCUCCAUUUCAUUUCAGAAGAAAAAUUGCUUCUGUCAAGGUAAACAGAAUGCAUUAUCCCCCUUUAAUAACCAUUUUUAAGCAUGCUUCUGUAUAACUUUUUUUCACAGCUGUAUUGCAAUAAGCCUUAGAGUAAUUGCCAGUUCUUCUGCCUAAUAGGUUCAUUAUUCUUUUGCCAUAAUUGCAGCCAUUAAACGUCCAAUUGUUAAAUUUCCACUCCUAC
ensembl:lncRNA